AUUGAACGCUGGCGGCAUGCCUUACACAUGCAAGUCGAACGGCAGCACGGGAGCAAUCCUGGUGGCGAGUGGCGAACGGGUGAGUAAAGUAUCGGAACGUGCCCAGUCGUGGGGGAUAACGUAGCGAAAGUUACGCUAAUACCGCAUACGAUCUAUGGAUGAAAGCGGGGGAUCGCAAGACCUCGCGCGAUUGGAGCGGCCGAUAUCAGAUUAGGUAGUUGGUGGGGUAAAGGCCCACCAAGCCGACGAUCUGUAGCUGGUCUGAGAGGACGACAAGCCACACUGGGGCUGAGACACGGCCCAGACUCCUACGGGGGGCAGCAGUGGGGAAUUUGGGACAAUGGGCGAAAGCCUGAUCCAGCCAUGCCGCGUGCAGGAUGAAGGCCUUCGGGUUGUAAACUGCUUUUGUACGGAACGAAAAGGACUGCCCUAAUACGGUGGUCCCAUGACGGUACCGUAAGAAUAAGCACCGGCUAACUACGUGCCAGCAGCCGCCGUAAGAC
rnacentral:rRNA from 1 species